AGGAUGAACGCUGGCGGCGUGCUUAAUACAUGCAAGUCGAGCGGCAGCAUGCACUUCGGUGUGAUGGCGAGCGGCGGACGGCUGAGUAACGCGUAGGAAUGUACCCCAAAGUGAGGGAUAAGCACCAGAAAUGGUGUCUAAUACCGCAUGUGAUCUAAGGAUUAAAAGCUUUAUGCGCUUUGGGAACGGCCUGCGUACGAUUAGCUUGUUGGUAAGGUAAUGGCUUACCAAGGCGAUGAUCGUUAGCUGGUCUGAGAGGAUGAUCAGCCAGACUGGGACUGAGACACGGCCCAGACUCCUACGGGAGGCAGCAGUAGGGAAUUUUCCACAAUGGGCGAAAGCCUGAUGGAGCAACGCCGCGUGCAGGAUGAAGGCCCUUGGGUCGUAAACUGCUUUUCUCUGUGAGGAAUAUGACAGUAGCAGAGGAAUAAGGAUCGGCUAACUCCGUGCCAGCAGCCGCGGUAAU
rnacentral:rRNA from 1 species